rnacentral:rRNA from 1 species
GACGAACGCUGGCGGCGUGCCUAAUACAUGCAAGUCGAACGAACUCUGGUAUUGAUUGGUGCUUGCAUCAUGAUUUACAUUUGAGUGAGUGGCGAACUGGUGAGUAACACGUGGGAAACCUGCCCAGAAGCGGGGGAUAACACCUGGAAACAGAUGCUAAUACCGCAUAACAACUUGGACCGCAUGGUCCGAGCUUGAAAGAUGGCUUCGGCUAUCACUUUUGGAUGGUCCCGCGGCGUAUUAGCUAGAUGGUGGGGUAACGGCUCACCAUGGCAAUGAUACGUAGCCGACCUGAGAGGGUAAUCGGCCACAUUGGGACUGAGACACGGCCCAAACUCCUACGGGAGGCAGCAGUAGGGAAUCUUCCACAAUGGACGAAAGUCUGAUGGAGCAACGCCGCGUGAGUGAAGAAGGGUUUCGGCUCGUAAAACUCUGUUGUUAAAGAAGAACAUAUCUGAGAGUAACUGUUCAGGUAUUGACGGUAUUUAACCAGAAAGCCACGGCUAACUACGUGCCAGCAGCCGCGUUAAUACGUAGGUGGCAAGCGUUGUCCGGAUUUAUUGGGCGUAAAGCGAGCGCAGGCGGUUUUUUAAGUCUGAUGUGAAAGCCUUCGGCUCAACCGAAGAAGUGCAUCGGAAACUGGGAAACUUGAGUGCAGAAGAGGACAGUGGAACUCCAUGUGUAGCGGUGAAAUGCGUAGAUAUAUGGAAGAACACCAGUGGCGAAGGCGGCUGUCUGGUCUGUAACUGACGCUGAGGCUCGAAAGUAUGGGUAGCAAACAGGAUUAGAUACCCUGGUAGUCCAUACCGUAAACGAUGAAUGCUAAGUGUUGGAGGGUUUCCGCCCUUCAGUGCUGCAGCUAACGCAUUAAGCAUUCCGCCUGGGGAGUACGGCCGCAAGGCUGAAACUCAAAGGAAUUGACGGGGGCCCGCACAAGCGGUGGAGCAUGUGGUUUAAUUCGAAGCUACGCGAAGAACCUUACCAGGUCUUGACAUACUAUGCAAAUCUAAGAGAUUAGACGUUCCCUUCGGGGACAUGGAUACAGGUGGUGCAUGGUUGUCGUCAGCUCGUGUCGCGAGAUGUUGGGUUAAGUCCCGCAACGAGCGCAACCCUUAUUAUCAGUUGCCAGCAUUAAGUUGGGCACUCUGGUGAGACUGCCGGUGACAAACCGGAGGAAGGUGGGGAUGACGUCAAAUCAUCAUGCCCCUUAUGACCUGGGCUACACACGUGCUACAAUGGAUGGUACAACGAGUUGCGAACUCGCGAGAGUAAGCUAAUCUCUUAAAGCCAUUCUCAGUUCGGAUUGUAGGCUGCAACUCGCCUACAUGAAGUCGGAAUCGCUAGUAAUCGCGGAUCAGCAUGCCGCGGUGAAUACGUUCCCGGGCCUUGUACACACCGCCCGUCACACCAUGAGAGUUUGUAACACCCAAAGUCGGUGGGGUAACCUUUUAGGAACCAGCCGCCUAAGGUGGGACAGAUGAUUAGGGUG